CGUGCGAAAAGCGCCAGGUUCUGCUCUGAGGAGCUUCUCCCGCGUCUCCAUUAGCGGCUGGAUGCUGACCUGGAGACACGGAGAUUUGGGCACCACAGACAAGGAAUUCAUUGUCAGAGACGGAGAUUGGAGUUGGCCUGAAGACAAACUAUGUGAGUUAUGGGAGGCAGAAGAGAAGCAGCAGUCAUUAUAUCUGAAGAUUAUUGUCAGACCCAGGGAUGCUGUUUGGUGCCCAUUUGUUUUUGCUCUUCCCUCCUUCCUGAUGCUGGUCAUCAAAAGUGACCUCAGCCUUCUACAGGACACUUUACUGACAAUUCACAGAGGUGGCAGCCAUGAAGAGCCAGCAAUCUUCCAUAGACAUCGAGGUCACAUCCCAGCAGCAGAAUAGCAGCUCAUGUGUAAGUUCUGACAUGUUCAUAACUUUUUCCUGUUCCUCAACUACAUUUUUUGCAUAUUUAUCUUCCAGCUUGUCCCACAAUUGUGUAAAUACUAAUUCUUAUCAUAAAUUUCUUCUUGUGUAUAAUUCAUAGUAGCUCUGCUUCCCAGAUUGAAUCUUUUUAAAGCUACAACUAAAGUAUAUUUUCAAAAAGAACUGAUUGAAAAAAACCACUGCUUGAAACUUCUUUUAUUACUUGAAGUUGUUUGAUUUUGAGGUUUUUUUUUUCCUGACCUCUUCAUAGUGAUCACUAGUGCAGAAUGAUGAUUUUUCUGUGCCUAAAUAGGAGAAAUUGUCAGAAUAACUAAGAUGAAUUUCAAGAAAAUUCAGCAUUUUGUUUUUAUGUUACUAAAAGAAAUCAAUAUUAUUUGUAUGUGAACAUUUCAAUAUAAUCUAGUGCUCUAGAACUGCCUGGACUAUAGAGAGCCAGUCAUGAAAAUCUCAGAUGCCUUGGGACAGGGAGGAAGGACCAAGCCAGAUUGUGGCCAGAAAAGACGUUUUCUUCCUGCUGGCAGGUGGAGCCAUCCUUGGGGUGAAGUGUAUGGCAUGUAGGUUCUUGUUGAAAGAACAGCUGUGGAGCAGAGGUCCUGAUGUCAUUGGCUCACUAUGGACCUUGUCAUGAGUAGGUCAAGAACAGGAGUGAGUGGAAGGUGCUUAUUCUUACACUCCUGCUCUGGAAAGAGAGUGGACUUCAAGUCCAGACAUGAUAACAAAGAGGUAUUGACUUUGUUGUCCGUAUUGAGAAAUGAGGCUUGAUCUAGAAAGGGGUGCACCUGCAGAGUACUUUCUGGGUUUUGUUUUUUCUGCUUUUUUUUUUUUGCCUUUCUUUCAAAGCCUGCGAAGGAGACCGUGAAUAUCUUCUAUUCAAAGAAGAGAAUGGCAAAGGAGACAGUGUUAGCAGCCUUGCCUGCAAAGGCAAUGCUAUUGGUGUUGUUUAUUUCUUUGGUGGGAAUACCCUUUCUUCUUAUAUUUGCCUGGCAAACUCUGACUCUCCCUUAAAGGUCCAAACCUAAUGUUGGAGGGUUUCCUUGACUGACCUUCUCCCACCCUACCCUGUCACAUACCCUGGGCAGACUGACAGAUUGCUUCAUCUCUUUUCCAGUGGCACUUCAUACUCCUAAUUUAGCAUAUCUUGCAGUGUAUUGGAAUUCAUCUUUUUUGUUGACAUUAUAACCCUAUGAUAUAUUAAUUUGUGGGAUUUUUUUGUGUCUUCUCCUUUAUGGACCAAAAAGCAGUAAAGCAAAGAAAAUGAGAAAAUCUGUCACUGGCGACAGGAGGAAGUGGGAGAUUUUACAUUUCUUAGAGUGUUGUACAUUCAGAAGGGGUUGCCUUGUUGCAUAUACAACAUAACCCAGCUUUACAUUUUCUUGAUUAGUCAAGGCACCAGAAAUAACAUCCUUUCAAUCCAUUGCCUAAAAUAAUUGGUAUCUAUGUAUUUGCAAAGUUUUAAAAAGGCAUAAGCAAGUCUGGAAAUUGGGCUUUGUCCCCUGAAGACUACUCUGCAGGCAUAGAAGGCAUUGGAGAUUGUGCUCUGGGGGCAGAGCCUUCUCCUAUGCAACCUGCUUUAUGGGCCUCAUGACCCUUGACCCAUGCUGUGUAAUUAAUAAUCUUUCCCUUCUUCUGGGAAACAAAUGGGAUUAGCAAAUGGUGCCAAUGUCGAUUACUCUUAAGGAAGUCACACUGAGAUGAGUGUCUCCUUCCCAAAGAACAUAUUCUACAAACCACACAAAGGGAGAAUCAUGCAAUAUAUGCAAAAUUCCUGGGAUGACGUUUUUUGUCCAGCUAACAUGCUUGCUAACUGUUUUCUAUCAAAUACUCACAAGGUAUCCACUACUUAGUGCCCCAAAGGAGGCAGAAAUGUUGGAAAUUGAAUGUGUCCAUUAAACCUAUCACAAAUAAGGUAGAGUGUGUGACUGGAGGGUACCACCAAUAAACUACUCUCAUGGGCCUGGAGGCGGAGACUUUUGCCUGGAUGUCACCCAGGACAGAGUACACCUGUGAAGCACUUGCCGAUCAUGCUUAUGGCUCCUGGGUGUAGGGUGGGGAGAAACCCUCUUGCCAUCCUAAGACCAUGCCUGCCAGGGGUCCUGGACUGCUCAGGCAUAGAAAACCCCAUCAGCUUGUGUUUGUCUCUGGGGUCCUGAAAUUACUUUCUAGUUACAAUGAAAAAAAGUGAAAUGAAACCUUACUUAGGAAGGAUCCCUAAUUUCGGCAAUAUUCUGAAACAUGUAGCAAGGGCUUGGCUUUUGAAGGACAGAAAAAUCCUUCUGAAGGGGUACUAAUACACAGUUGUUGCAAAGUCUUUCAUGAUUAUAUGAGUCAAGUCCCAUGGGCUUUGUCUGAGACUUGCUACUGGGCUGAAGUAACUUCAACAGAAGCCCACUCAUUAAAGAAUCAGGCACAGCACAAGGUCCUGCAGGUCAGAAUAGCUCAAAUGAAAGACUUAUUUACCUCUGAUGGCCGUGGUAAUGUAGCCAGAGUAUUUGGAAUAAGAUUGAAGAGGGAAAGACAAAGGUGAAAAUUAAGAAGCAGUUCUUUGUGUUAGGACUAAGGGAUGAAUCAAGGCUUACAUCCUAGGCAUGAGCCAAAAGGUCAGAGGUAGGAUGACUGGCACUUCUGUUACCUCUUACCUGUUUCCUAGGUCCUCUGUCUUUCUUUUUCUUGGUUUACUUUUUCGUUUUUGGUGGGUAGCUUCCUGGAAAAGGGUGCAUGUGGUUGGCACAUGUGGUGUGGUGGCAUGUGAUUGUAACCGCAGAUUGGUGGUUACUGGAGGGGGAAAGGGGUUGAUGGGUGGGUGAAAUGGGUGAUGGCAGUCAAUUGUAUGGUGAUAGGUGGUAACUAGAUAUUUGGUGGAGAUGACUUUGGUGUGUAUAUAGAUGUUGAAUUUUCAUGUCAUGCACCUGAAACAUAUAAUGUUAAUAUCAAUUUUACAUAAAUUUUAAAAAAUUAAAGGAGAAAAAAAGAAGAUGUAUGUGAUGACAAUUUUUUAAGACACUUUAAGUCUAGGUGUAUUUUUAUUUUACUCCGUUACUGAUUGAUACUUGUGUAGAUGCAGAAGUCUAGGUUGAAAGACAAGUAUCCAUUAUCUUCUAGCCUCAUUCUUGUUCUUGAAAAGUUUGCUAAUAUUUUAUCUGACUUCCCCUACUCCUAUUCAUUUUCUCUCUUCUCUUUUCUGGGACUCCAAAAUUGACAUGUUAAAUCCAUGGGAUUUAUCUCCUAGGUUUUUUUCAUAUGUAUAUAUGAAAUAGAUACAAUGCCAUGCAUCAUGACAUCUUUGAGGAUCAACAAAGAGGUCAGGGUGGAAGUGAGGGAAACAGUCUCAAAUAUAUUUGUCUUAAUUAUUUUAAAUAAGUCAAGAGGUCUUAAUUUAGUAAAGGAUCUUUGACAAUAGAAGUAGAAAGGAAAAAACUUUUUUUGGUAAAUUCAGUAAUUUUUCUCCCUUACUUGGAAUAUUAUUUAUGCCAUCUUUAGCUCUGAAAAUUUGUUUGGAUAACUUUCUGGGUAACUUUGGGUGAAUUUUAUGUGUCCUGUGUCUUUGUUUUUGUUACCUAAAAUUCUUUGACCAUUACUGUCCUCUUUCCCCCACAUCACCAGACUCCAAGCACCAAAAUCUUACCCAUCCAUCAAGGCCCAUAUUAAGUAUUUCCUUACUUAAGCAGCCUUUCCUGAUUCUCUCAAGAAGCUCAAUCUUUUUCUCACUUAACAUGUUAAUUGUACCUUUCUGGUGAUACUUACUUUAUUCUCAGUGGAAAUAUACCUCCCUAUCUUCCUCUUACACUAUAUGCUUUUUGAGGGCGAAAAUCAUGUCUUGCUCAUCUCCAUAUCUUCUAUUAUACUCAGAAGACUCCCAAUAACUGUUGUUAAAAUGAGUUUCACAUCACCCAUCUGUAAGUCAAAAGUCCAUAGUUUUAUUAAAAACAACAACAACAACAAAAAAUCAAAAAAAACUUUGUAAUGUGUAUUGGAAUACAUGUGUAAGUAUCCUUCUUAAAGAGAGUUGUAUCCCUGGAUAAAGCUGUUUCCCAUUCUAUCAUAAAUGACUCUCAUCUUUUCUAUUCCACCUUUAUUAUUAGCAGAGACUUUCCAUGUUUAUCAGGUUUUGAUAAUCAGAAUUCUUUUCCUUGGUUAAGUCGUUUAAAUUUGAUAAUCCUUUGGAAAAAUACCCCCCACACCCCAGCAGCCAAACAAAAUAACUCACAAGGUUAAACUAUUAGCUUUGAAAUGGCUUUCAUUAUUUAGCUGGCUUAAAACUCUAAUGUUUUGAGCAUGUCAGUCCACUGGAAAGGGCGAGCCAGGUGGAAUGGAAUCUUAGUUCCCUCUCUUUAUUAGGCUGGUCAGGAUAAAUGUCCUAGGAGCAAUUUUCCAAAAAUUUGUUUUAAGUCUCUUGUGACUUGGAAAAUGAGCAGCUUCAAAUAUCUUUCAGGAUAUUGUCCUGUAUGUGAACUUUAGAUUACCUAUAUUUGAAGGUUUAAAAAAAUCUAUUUAAGGUGCAUUUUGGAAAGAUCAGUGAUGACGGUCUGAGCUAAAAGCCAUUGGUUCAUAUUUCCCUAGUUCUCGUACUGUUUGUCAUUAGUAAAUCUCACACCGGACAUUUGUCCCAUCUUAUAAACAUAAAUGACACUCUUGCCUUUAUUUUUAUAUUUUAGCUUCCGUUAAAGUAAGGCUUAGAUGUCCCUUUUUUUCAGACAAAGAUCAGAUCACCAGAAAUAAGCGUAAUGUUAAAAAUUUAUUUAGUGACUGAAUUAACUUUAUCUGCCUCUUUAAAGGACCAUGGUUAUAUCUCCUUGUGUACUUAGGAAAUUCCUUGAAACAUACAACAUAUAUAUUAUUAGUUUCUCAGUGAAUAACAAUUUUGGAAUUUUAAAUAUUGUCAAGAUAAUUCAUGUCACACUGAGAAGUUAGCUCUUUGAAUAGUGUAUUCACAGUAAUGUAGUUUACCAUAUUUUUAUCAUUUAUUCGUCACAAUAACUCUAUGAUGUGUUCAGAAAGUACACAUAACAUACAUUCAUAUAUAAUUUGAUUAUUUUAUUCAAAGAAAUCCGAUAUGUGCUAUCCUUUCCUGACACGUGAUUUGAAUAACUUUUUUUUUAACAGCUUUUUUUUCCCCCCCAAUUUAAUCUGGAAACAAAUUUCAUCAAGCUUGGUGCUAAAAGUCUAUCUGGUGAGAAUGUUUCCAAUUAUAUAUAUAUACACACACGCACACGCAUAUAUAUGUAGAUAGAAGAUCAGAUAUCAGUCAGUCACAUUUAAAUUGAAGUAGUAUUUUUUUGUGUUUGUUUUAGUAAUGUGACUUUGCUUGAAUUGAAUAUAGGUUUAUAAUCAUUUACCAGCCUAGAAAUAGCUAAAUACCUGAUUUUCAGAUUAACAUUGAGAUUCCAUUUCUGCCUGUUUGAUGUCCUUACAUGACUGAAACCAAGUAAGCUCCAUAUUGCUUGAUUGUAAUGUUCAUCUGGCUUCCUGCCAUGUAAAUGGAUGUAUUAAUACUCAGUUCUCAAGAGUGUUGUGAAGUUCAGUUAAUUAAUGUUUAUAAAAGCUUCUUGAGAUUGUCUGCUGAAAGAUAUUAUGUGUGUUAAAAUUAUAUAAAAAGCCAACAUGUAGAGCACUCUAGAAAUUGUUGCUUAGCAAAGAUAAAAUUGCCCUGAAUAUCUAUUAGCCAUCCCUGUAUCAAUGACUUCUGGUUUCUUUAAUUUAUUAUAGUAUUUUAUUGGAUGGUACAUAAAGAUGACUUAAAGCUGCAUCAUCUCUUUUCAUGGUAAGGAAUUCUUUAUGAAAUUUUGGUCAGAGAGGUUUAGGUAAAGCAUUUGUCUGGUGUUCAUUCAGGCAGAAAAUUCAAAUCAAAGAUCUCAUAUAAAGUAAAAUGUUAGCUGGAAGAUUCAUUCUUGUUCCCGACUGAGUGCCCAUGUGGUAGGUAUUCUAUUUGUUCCUUGACAUCUAAUCUCCAUUUCUCUCUCAUAGCAAUAGAAUGCCUAAUUUUUUGCUGGGCACAUGGCCAUCCCGAAAAAUUCUACAUAUUGUCCACCUUUCUUACAACUGAAUGUGGCCUCUGAUAACUAAGUUCCAGUUCACAGAAUGUGAGCAGAAUUAAUCUGUAAAACUUUAGGUUGCAUCCUGAAAGAGAGGACACACCCUUCUUUCUGCCUUUUUACAUCCUAUUGUUUGGGAAAUAGAUGUAGUGACAAGCUACCUUGGACAUGUGGGUGAAGAAACCAGCCUAAAGAUAGAGGAGCAAGAAGAGAAGACAAAAGGAACUUGAGUCCCUGAACAACUUGUAGAACACAGCUGCCAUAGCAGCCUUAUAAUGCCUAUUUGUGAAUGUGUUUAAGACAUUAGUUUGAGUCUUGAUUAUAAACCACUGAUUAUAUCCUAACUUAUUAUCCCUAUCUUUACAGAAAGGGCAAAGUAAUUCAGUUUUUUAGGCCGCCCACCAAAUUGUCCACUCAUGGAUCAGAUCUCAUUGAAAAGUAGACUGUAAUUUUUAUUUGUGUAUUGGGUACAUUAAAAAGUUUUAGUUUGGGGGUAUGACUCCUCAUCCUAAAAUGCAUAAAGAAAAAUGUCUUUAGUUGUGCCCCCAAACAGACUAGCAAGCUCUACUUUGAAAUGGCUUCAUCCUCUGAAAGCCCUGAACAUUAUACACUUAAAACUGAAAA
rnacentral:lncRNA from 1 species